AUUUCAGUGCCAAAAUCCUCCACCAACGAAUUCUUCGUUAUCCACGGCUUCUAAAACCUGAUAUUCAAUUUCUUCGUCUUCCUGCCUUUAAUCAUUAACCAUGAAACACACAGGUUCCAUUUUUUAGGAUUAUUUUGUUUAUCAUGUGGAUGUUCUUCAUGAUUUUGAGUUUGGGUUUAGUUCCCAAGGAAGAUCAGUCAGAUUUUAUUUUGAAUAAAACUCCAAUUACGGGUAUGAUUUUAUGUAAAUAUGUCCUCAUGUUGGAGCACCGAAGAAAGAUGGGCUCAAACCCUAGGAAUUAAAAAACUCAGAAGAAUUGAAAUAUCAAACCCCCGUCUGUGAAUCAAGGAUAUGUGAUCUGAUUUGAAGAUUGGUUUCUCAGCUGUUGGGGAAACCAGACCCAUACUGUUGCUGCUAAAACUAGAAGGUGAUGAUGGAGAUUGCUCUGAUGUGGAACUAGGGUUGGAUGAGCGUGGAAAAUCUGAAUUUGACUGGAAUUCUAGAUGAACAUAAUUUUUUUGGGUAAGUUGUUGAUUUUUUAUACAAACUCUUUUAUUUAAAGUUAUCAUUAACUUAGGAUUUCUGUAAGUGAAGGUGUUGCUUUGAUGGGUUAUUUCUUUAAUUUUUAUUAAGAGGAAAAAAUGCACCCUUUCAGAGAUUCAAGAAGCUAUCUCAUCUCCAAAUCAUGUAUCUCUCUCACUAUCACUCUUUAUAUUCAUAUAUUUAUUAAACUAAUCUUUUGCAAACCUAAUGGUUUCGUCGACCAUUGGGAAUUUUGAGCUUUAUUUUCAAUUUAUUGUUGCUUUUAUUUGUUAUUUUUCCAGAAUGUUUAUUCUGAUUGACUUUAUGUUUGAUGCAGACAGAUUCCGAGACAAACCACCAUGUAUCGAUAUGUCAAUAGAACUUUCUAUGAUUUGCGUUAUAUAAGUUCUUGGUAUUCAAUUGUUGGAUUGAAGAAAUAAAUCAUUGAGCAAAAUGGUCCAUGUCUAAAUAUGCCAACAAUCAAUUUCUUGCUUACCGUCUAUGGGAAUAUGGGAAUUGUUCCACACGCACGAUUAAGGAUAGUCCAUGGAGAUUAACUCCUCUCCAUCACACAUGUUUCAUUUGUCAACCUCCAAACGAUUCACCUCACAUACCCCUUUCCAUUCACAUCUCUCUCUGCAACAUCUCUCCAUUCUCCUCUUCGGCUCUUCCAUAUUCCGCAUACUAAUAUGUGAUCUUAUAUAUUUUAUGGAUUUUUUUUGUUGUGUUUGGGGGAUUCGAUAAUGGUUUUGUUUUGGUUUGAACCCCAAGGAUGGAUUUGGGAUUUAAUUAUGACAUAAUAAUGUUUUGCAGUCAAACAAGAUUUGUUCUUCAAAGAUGGUAAACGUUAUUGCUUCAUAUUUUGCUCAUAUAAAGAUGGCGAUGGAGUUGAGAAUCCUAUCGGAGAUGAAGGGUUUCUAGAGGAAGAAAGUAGUGAAGAGGCUUACACUGAACCUUCUGAAGAUGCUAAACUGUUUGUCGAGAUUUACCUUGUAACAUCUAUAGUGAAAUCAGCUGUAUAUUUGACGCAGUUGCUGUUUUUAAGACUGGAUGGCUUUCAGAAACAGGUCAACUACUGAAAGGCAAGUUCUAAGGUAUGCAAAAUGGUCAUUUUAUCACACUCGCGGUAGCAGCCUUAGGUAAUUACACCAACUCAUUUUUUUCUGACUUUUACGUGCAUUUUUGAGCUUUUACUUGGAGUGGAUGAGGCAGCUUUUCAUCUGUAUAUUUUUUAAUGAAUAUGAUAGAUUCAUUAACUUUAGAGUAAUUGAGUUUGUUCAGUGGGAGUAAACCUUUACACUGCUUGCUUUUAUACGUCUUUUCUAGAUUAGGUUCAUUUUAGAAAGAGAUCUGAGCUUGAGUUACGAUAUCAGUUGCAGAAUUGUGCCAUCGCUGUUAUUUCCACACUCUAUGAAUCCUAACUUCCGGAAUGUUGUUACAACAUGUGAGACCCUGUUUAUUUAAUUAUUGUUUAUUAAUUAAAUAUACCACAGUUUUUGGGAUACCAACGGCGCACCACCUAGAUGGGUGUACAAGUUCAACAAAGCAAAUGUAGCCAGCCAUCUGUGUAGCAUUAUCAACUCGCAUGAUCCAUCCUAAAGUUAAGAUCUGCUGCCUGCUGGCACAAAAUGUUACCUCAAACGAAGUCUCUUAUGUGUCUUCAUAUACUUUGUUUACACAACUGACAUGCAUGUAAUUAUUCUGUUCCAAAGAUCAAACCAAGUUCCACCACAAUACAUAUCAAACUCCAUUCACCAAGUUGAGUGGCCACCAUGAAGUGCCGUAAAAAAGGUUCAAUUAGUUUGGAGGAGAAGAAUAUACUGCAAUUCAUGUAAAACCAGACAUGCAGGCCAAAUGGGUGUAGGUGUACAAGAAAUGAAUACUUCCCGGCCACACUAAGCCAACCAUCUGUACAACAGUAUUAAUUCUAAUGAAAUAAUUCAAAGGGGCAACAAAUUUCCACCUCAGGCGUACCAGACCGUACAACAUGUUGAAUGGAUGCCUCCAAGACCUUCAAAAAAGGUGCAAUGAGUUUGAAGGAAAGGCCAAAUUUUUACUCAAUUAUGCACCUCUGUUGGACAAAUAUUUUUCUCCACAACACGUCCAUCAUCAAAUUGUGCCUGGCAAGUAAAUGGACAUGGCAUUUAACGUUGUUUUCAGAGAAAGUAAGGUCCAGGUAAAGCGUCCAACGUGAUAUUUUCCUUCGGUCAAAGAUGAUGUUUUCCAGAACAAGGUAAAAACAUGACAUCAAUGAAAGGGUGGCAGAGACAUUAGGAAAAUGGGGAACGGCAAUGAUACCAGCAGCCCAAAUGCUGGAACCAAUGAAACAACUGGACCGAAGACGUUUAAUGAGCACUAAACUAGGAGUUCAGGCUCUCUUCUGUUUACAAAGAUAUAGUUUAUAUUUGUGUUGGGCAUUUGCUCCUUUAGGACCUUUACGCAAUGAACGACAAUAAAUGGAUCACACUAACUGAAUUUGUUGUGCUUUCUAUGGACCUUUUAGUGUCUUAUUUAAUUAAUUACAUAUUAUGUAUGACAUAAA